CCUACGGGGGACAGCAGUGAGGAAUAUUGGUCAAUGGACGAGUGUCUGAACCAGCCAAGUAGCGUGAAGGAUGACUGCCCUAUGGGUUGUAAACUUCUUUUAUAAAGGAAUAAAACGAGGCACGUGUGCCUUUUUGCAUGUACUUUAUGAAUAAGGAUCGGCUAACACCGUGCCAGCAGCCGCGGUAAUACGGAGGAUCCGAGCGUUAUCCGGAUUUAUUGGGUUUAAAGGGAGCGUAGAUGGGUUGUUAAGUCAGUUGUGAAAGUUUGCGGCUCAACCGUAAAAUUGCAAUUGAUACUGGCAGUCUUGAGUACAGUUGAGGUAGGCGGAAUUCGUGGUGUAGCGGUGAAAUGCUUAGAUAUCACGAAGAACCCCGAUUGCGAAGGCAGCUUACUAAACUGUGACUGACAUUGAUGCUCGAAAGUGUGGGGAUCAAACAGGAUUAGAUACCCGUGUAGUC
rnacentral:rRNA from 1 species